rnacentral:rRNA from 1 species
UACGAAGGGGGCUAGCGUUGCUCGGAAUCACUGGGCGUAGAGCGCACGUAGGCGGCUUUCUAAGUCAGGGGUGAAAUCCUGGAGCUCAACUCCAGAACUGCCUUUGAUACUGGAGAGCUUGAGUCCGGGAGAGGUGAGUGGAACUCCGAGUGUAGAGGUGAAAUUCGUAGAUAUUGGGAAGAACACCGGUGGCGAAGGCGGCGACCUGGUCCUUUACUGACGCUGAGGCGCGAAAGCGUGGGGAGCAAACAGG